GUUUUAAUAGUUUAAUAUAAAAUAAUGAUCUUGUAAAUCAUAGAAAGGUAUAUACCUUUAAAACU
rnacentral:tRNA from 1 species